GACGAACGCUGGCGGCGUGCUUAACACAUGCAAGUCGAGCGGAAAGGCCACUUCGGUGGUACUCGAGCGGCGAACGGGUGAGUAACACGUGAGUAAUCUGCCCUUGGCUUUGGGAUAGCCACCGGAAACGGUGAUUAAUACCGGAUACGACCACUUCUCGCAUGGGAUGGUGGUGGAAAGUUUUUUCGGCCAGGGAUGUGCUCGCGGCCUAUCAGCUUGGGGGGGAGGUAAUGGCUCACCAUGGCUUCGACGGGUAGCCGGCCUGAGAGGGUGACCGGUCACACUGGGACUGAGACACGGCCCAGACUCCUACGGGAGGCAGCAGUGGGGAAUAUUGGACAAUGGGCGGAAGCCUGAUCCAGCAACGCCGCGUGAGGGAUGACGGCCUUCGGGUUGUAAACCUCUUUCAGCAGGGACGAAGCGCAAGUGACGGUACCUGCAGAAGAAGCACCGGCCAACUACGUGCCAGCAGCCGCCGUAA
rnacentral:rRNA from 1 species